CAGGGGAGGGCGGGAGGCUGGCCCUGGCUCUGCCCUGGGAGAUGCCACCGGGCCUUGGUCUGGGGUGGAGGGCUGGCAGGAGGCUGGGUAUGGCCACUGCUCUGGAGUGACCAUAGAUUUCUGCCCUGCUUGCCUCAUUCUUCUCCUGAGGGCCCCAAUGGGACACUUGAGAGGGUUACUGGGGCCAGGGCUGGGGAGCGCUCUCAGCGCUGGCCUUCUGGGGCCCUGUGUCCUCUCUGCCCCUUUCUGACCUGGACCUGGGCUGGGGCCUCUGCCUUCCCCCAGGCCUGGAGACAGGCCAUUUUGGAGGCCCUCAGGCCCGACGAGCCUGCUCCUUGGAGCCAGGCUGGGGGCUGGGCUGUAUCCUGGUGGGAUGGGGGAGCUGGAGUGUGGGGUGGGAGUGGGGCUGGGAGCAGGUGGAGGUUGGUGCCUCAGGCUCUGGGGAAUGGACCUGGGAUGACUGGAGGGUGGAGAAGGGCCUCUCUCAACCCUGGGCUUUGGGGUGUGAGCCCAGCCCUGCUCCCAGGCAGGCAGCCUCCUGCAGCCCCAGGUUCCCAUGUUGAUGGAGCUGUGAUGAAAGGUGCCGGGGCCACCCUUGCCUUUGCAUAGACGCACAGCCGAGAAGUUGCACUGCUCAGAAAGGUGUUGCUGCCCGCUCGUGCACAGGUCGGAUUUUCUUGGGAGCUUGGGCUGAGACCCUGACCGGCCCUCCCACCAACCACCUACACCACCACCCAGCCAGCCAGCAACAGGACCAGGAGUGGUCAGGAGGGAGCCCCCGCGACCACCCACCGCGCCACCCCAGCCAGCCAACUCUGCCCGCCCAGGGCCGUGAGCUGGAGAUGCCAGGACUCCCUGGAGGCAGUGUGGGGCAUUCUUCUUAGUAAGUCCUGAGUCGAUGAUAAAGGGCAGUAUCAACCCCUCGCUAAUGCGCAGUGAGCGGGUUCCCAUACAGGGGAGACGUUUAAUUUAUCUAGGGAACUGGACGAAAGUUAUAAAAAUGGUAAUUUCUUGGAGAUUCAAUUACGUGUUUUCAUUGUUACCCUCAGUAA